rnacentral:lncRNA from 12 species
AUGGACUUCAAAGCUUCGGGAAUGAGAUUCAUCCAUGGCAGCAAAGCCACUGAUGUGAAGAAAAGUAAACUGAGGCGGGGUCAAGGAAGUGGUGGACACAGAUGGGGUCCAGCUGUUGGAUGCAAGAAAGCCCAAGUGGUGACUAAAGUGGGUGCUGGCAGAAACUCAAGACCAUCACGUGGCUAGCAUGGUAUUUGAGCAGAAGAGAGGAUGCACACUUUUUUUUCACUCAACCACCACAUGUAGGAAAUAACAAGAAUACAAGAACACAGAAAAUAUCAUUACCUAGGCUGCUCCGUUCCGAGGAGCAGCCCACAACCUCAAAAAGCAGGAGGGAGCUGGAGUCAGACCUACUGUGACUUUGCCAUCUCUUCCUGUGUGUCUAUGGAACCAACCUUCUCCAACACCCCAGCUCUAGCACCAGACCUGGCAUUUCCUUUACUGCAGGAUAUUUUGAAGCAACUCUGGAUCCUGCUUUUUUCUUGAGGUUCAUUAUGCUGGCUCCUGAGUCUCUACGGCUGACCCUAAAAACUGGGAUCCUGGUUUACCCUUUUUAGACCUUUAUCUGAAGACCUCUGCCUUGAAGAUUUUGUUUUGUAGGAAUAGGCACUCUUAAAGGGAACCUGUAUUUUAGAGAUGGGGGAAGCUGGAGAAAGGGAAUACUUUAUACAAACCUAGUCUACCCUAUUGAUCCUGUAGGAAUCUUGUUUCUAUUGUUAGUAGACAAGGAACACAGAAAAAAAACCCACCUUUUCAUUUCUUUAAUUCAGCGACAUUUUUAUUGCUCAUCUGCUAUGUGCAAGUAAAUGAGAUAAUGUGUAAUUGAAAAAUUGUGCAAUAGUCAUUUUCAACUGGGACUAAUUUUGCGCCCAGGGGACGUUUAGCAAUGUCCUAGGACGUAUUUGGUUAUCCCGACUGGGUGCUACUAGCAUCUAUUGGGUAGAGACCAGGGAUUCUUCUAAACACCCUUCACUACCAGGGCAGCCCUCUGUAACAAAGAACUAUCCAGUCCAAAAUGUUAAUAAUGCCAAGAUUUAGAAACUGACUCAUACCAUCUGGCUAAUACUUCAAUAUCUUUCUGAAACCUCCUAUAGUGCACAGGGUUGCCCUUCAUAACAAAGAAUUAUCUGGCCCCCAAUUUCAAUAGUCCCACAGUCGAGAAAUAGCUCUUGUUCUGCUCUAAAUCCUGGCUCUUCCUAAGCCUAGGAGUGGCUUUUUUUCUACUUUUUUCUUAUGCCAAAUUCUUUGGUAUUAUACUUACUACAAAUAAAUUAUGAGCAUUUUUUAUGGGCCA